ACUGCAUUAAAAAAUGGAAAAACUACAUUAAACAUAUGUAAGAUUACUAUUUUUCACUUAAAAAAAAAAAGACGGCUUAUCUCCAUAAUGUAACAUUACCGUUUUAUAAAAAAAAAACAUUAUAUAUAAUUUCGAAAAUAAUAAAUAUAAGUAAAACAUACAACAUAAAAAAUGGAAAUACUACAUUAAACAUAAAUAUGUUUGACUAUUUGUCCAAGUUCUUCUAUUAAACAUUGCCGUUUUACAUUAAAAAUAGAAAAAUACGUAAAGAUUUAAACAUCUAUCUUAAAAUAUAAAAUAUAGACAUUAACUAAAUAUAAAGUAUAAAAAAG
rnacentral:lncRNA from 1 species